GGGAACACCUGGAAUUAAAUCAACAUAAUCAGGACAGGAACAGGAAACUAACCAAAUAUGGGUGUAAAGACUGGGACACAGGGAGCACAUGGGGAACAAAACACAACACAAGCCUAACAGAGUUUAAAAGAAGAGAUGGAGAGAUCUCUUGGCCAUGCAGAGAUUAAAGUAGAGUGUAAAGUCCACAAGCCCAGCUCUUCUCCUUAUGAGAGUGGAUGUUGUUUUACUUUGGUCCCAUGCAGUGUUGUCACUGGAUUUUAGGAGUAAUGAGAUCUCAUGACUCUAUCGCAUCGUCAAAUACUUUCAUGAAGCAAUACCACCUGCCUUGCCAAUAUAUGCUGCAUCCAAUUCUAAUUCUCAUUUCCUGCUUCUUGGGAUGGAAGAUGAUUUUGAUCACAUUCCAGCCAUCUCCUCCUGUUUUUAAGACAACAGUUAGGCAAAGGAUAUUUUUGUUGGCAAAGAGCCUGACUAGUCCUGUGGCACACACACACACAGAGAGAGAGCGAGAGAGAGAGAGAGAGAGAGAGAGAGAGAGAGAGAAAAACUCAUAAAUAACAAUUGCACAUACUUGCAAAAAUCCCUAAAUAAAUUGAAAUCAGAAAAUGUCCCCUUACAUUAAAGCAAAUCAGUCCUGAGAAAUCUGACAAGGCAUAUGUUUUCAAAGCGGUUAAGAGGCACUUUUGAGGUUUUCUUGAACUUUCUAAGGGCAGACAGUAAAUUUGCAGGACAGCAUAGUUUGAUUGGCUACACACUUUCGUGCUGUCUAAAAUUGUUUUGUUUUUUGUUGUUGUUGUUGUUGUUAUUUUUUCCAGUCUGAAAAAUGCCAAAACUGCUGUUGUUACCAAAUAACAGAUGCACAAAGUUCAUUUCAUAUGAAAAUAAAACUCAUUUACAG